ACACACCUCAUCCUUCACACACACAACAUGCUCAACCUUCACUAGCCACGUGACUUUCUUUCUCACAUCAUCCUGAAUUUGCUUUUCUGAAGACUGGACAAAGUGCUUGAAAAGCAAAUGGAAACAUUUUAUGAAUAACUACGC
ensembl:lncRNA CELF2-AS2 CELF2 antisense RNA 2